UUUGUUUUUCCUCUAAUACUAAAAUGGUGGUGCCUCAUUCUCUUGGAUAAUUUUGCUGUUGAAAGCAGGAAACAUGUCCUCACUGCGUGCAAGUGCCAGAAGAGCAGUAGAUUGAAAUCUGCAGCAGGGAGCCAAGGAUAACAAACGACCUCCACACUGCAGUUGGAUGGCUGUGGAAAAACCUCUGUGUCUUCAGAGGUUUGGUGAAAGAGCUGAGGUUCCUCCAACUGAAAGAGGAAGACCAGAAGAAAACUCUUCUUCAAGCUUUCACAGGCCGAAAUGUCUGACGACCAGCAACUGGCCAAAUAACC